rnacentral:rRNA from 1 species
GAUGAACGCUGGCGGCGUGCCUAACACAUGCAAGUCGAGCGAUUUACUUCGGUAAAGAGCGGCGGACGGGUGAGUAACGCGUGGGUAACCUGCCCUGUACACACGGAUAACAUACCGAAAGGUAUGCUAAUACGGGAUAAUAUGUUUUGAUCGCAUGAUCGAAAUAUCAAAGCUCCGGCGGUACAGGAUGGACCCGCGUCUGAUUAGCUAGUUGGUAGGUAACGGCUUACCAAGGCGACGAUCAGUAGCCGACCUGAGAGGGUGAUCGGCCACAUUGGAACUGAGACACGGUCCAAACUCCUACGGGAGGCAGCAGUGGGGAAUAUUGCACAAUGGGCGAAAGCCUGAUGCAGCAACGCCGCGUGAGCGAUGAAGGCCUGCGGGUCGUAAAGCUCUGUCCUCAAGGAAGAUAAUGACGGUACUUGAGGAGGAAGCCCCGGCUAACUACGUGCCAGCCGCCGCCGUAA